rnacentral:rRNA from 1 species
AUUGAACGCUGGCGGCAGGCCUAACACAUGCAAGUCGAGCGGAGCGGCGGACGGGUGAGUAAUGCCUAGGAAUCUGCCUGGUAGUGGGGGAUAACGUCCGGAAACGGGCGCUAAUCCCGCAUACUAUCAGAUGAGCCUAGGUCGGAUUAGCUAGUUGGUGGGGUAAAGGCCUACCAAGGCGACGAUCCGUAACUGGUCUGAGAGGAUGAUCAGUCACACUGGAACGGAGACACGGUCCAGACUCCUACGGGAGGCAGCAGGGGGGAAUAUUGGACAAUGGGCGAAAGCCUGAUCCAGCCAUGCCGCGUGUGUGAAGAAGGUCUUCGGAUUGUAAAGUACGUUAAGUUGGGAGGCGGUACCCGCAGAAGAAGCACCGGCUAACUACGUGACAGCAGCCGCGGUAAUUC